rnacentral:rRNA from 1 species
CACGUAGGGGGGCGAGCGUUGUCCGGAUUUAUUGGGCGUAAAGAGCUCGUAGGCGGCUAAGUAAGUCGGGUGUGAAAACUCCAGGCUCAACCUGGAGACGCCACCUGAUACUGCUUUGGCUAGAGUCCGGUAGGGGAGCAUGGAAUUCCUGGUGUAGCGGUGAAAUGCGCAGAUAUCAGGAGGAACACCGGUGGCGAAGGCGGUUCUCUGGGCCUGUACUGACGCUGAGGAGCGAAAGCGUGGGGAGCGAACAGG